rnacentral:tRNA from 1 species
CUGGAUAGAGCAACGCCCUUCUAAGGCGUGUGUCCGGGGUUCGAAUCCCUGUGCGCUCACCA